UACGGGAGGUAGCAGUGGGGAAUAUUGCACAAUGGGCGAAAGCCUGAUGCAGCUAUGCCGCGUGUAUGAAGAAGGCCUUAGGGGUUGUAAAGUACUUUUCAUCGGGGAGGAAAAACAAAACUAAUAAUUUUAUUUCUUGACGUUACCCGAAAAAGAAGCACCGGCUAACUCCGUGCCAGCAGCCGCGGUAAUACGGAGGGUGCUAGCGUUAAUCAGAAUUACUGGGCGUAAAGAGCACGUAGGUGGUUUUUUUAAGUCAGAUGUGAAAUCCCUGGGCUUAACCUGGAACUGCAUUUUGAAACUGAAAUACUAGAGUAUCGUAGAGGGAGGUAGAAUUCUAGGUGUAGCGGUGAAAUGCGUAGAUAUCUGGAGGAAUACCUGUGGCGAAAGCGGCCUCUAAACGGAUACUGACACUGAGGUGCGAAAGCGUGGGGAGCAAACAGGGAUUAGGAUACCCGU
rnacentral:rRNA from 1 species